rnacentral:rRNA from 1 species
AGUGCCUCAAGUAUCACCAUCUGGGGUAGAGCACUGUUAUGGCUAGGGGGUCAUUGCGACUUACCAACCCAUUGCAAACUCCGAAUACCGAUGAGUGCGAGCUUGGGAGACAGACAUCGGGUGCUAACGUCCGGUGUCAAGAGGGAAACAACCCAGACCGCCAGCUAAGGUCCCAAAGAUUUGCUAAGUGGAAAACGAAGUGGGAAGG